rnacentral:rRNA from 1 species
GACGAACGCUGGCGGCGUGCUUAACACAUGCAAGUCGAACGGAAAGGCCCUGCUUUUGUGGGGUGCUCGAGUGGCGAACGGGUGAGUAACACGUGAGUAACCUGCCCUUGACUUUGGGAUAACUUCAGGAAACUGGGGCUAAUACCGGAUAGGAGCUCCUGCUGCAUGGUGGGGGUUGGAAAGUUUCGGCGGUUGGGGAUGGACUCGCGGCUUAUCAGCUUGUUGGUGGGGUAGUGGCUUACCAAGGCUUUGACGGGUAGCCGGCCUGAGAGGGUGACCGGCCACAUGGGGACUGGGAAACGGCCCGGACUCCUACGGGAGGCAGCGGUGGGGAAUAUGGCACAAGGGGCGGAGGCCUGAUGCAGAAACGCCGCGUGCGGGAGGACGGCCUUCGGGUUGUAAACCGCUUUCGCCUGUGACGAAGCGUGAGUGACGGUAAUGGGUAAAGAAGCACCGGCUAACUACGU